CUCCCAGUAACGGCGAGUGAACGGAGAUUAGCCCGUCACCGAAGUCCGGUGCUGUUGCACACGUGACCAUGUGGUGUUGAGGCAUGCGCCUGGGGCCUCGUGCCUACCCGAAGUCCAACUCCGAUUAUGGCUUGGAUUUUGCCCAGAGCGGGUGAAAGGCCCGUGCGGGUAGGUGAUUGACAGUGAGCGUGGCCCUCAGCUGUGCAUGCCUUCGAGUCGGAUUGCUUGAGAAUGCAGUCCAAAGUGGGUGGUAAACUCCAUCCAAGGCUAAAUACUGGCACGAGUCCGAUAGUAGACAAGUACCGUGAGGGAAAGUUGAAAAGUACUCUGAAGAGAGAGUAAAUAGUACGUGAAACCGAUUGCAGGGAAGCUGGUGGAGUCAAGCUUCAUGCCUGGAGGAUUCUCGCGCGGCGGUUGCUGUGUGUGUGGGCCGCAUGCCGGACAGCUUGGAAAGAGUUGGUCGCACUCGUGCGGCUCAAGUCUGCCCGGGCCGGCCGAUUGUUCCGGUGUGGUGGCCCAAUUCUGCGCGAUCUAUCCUCCGCGGCAUAGACCAUGGUCGAUGGCGAUUUGCCCACGUGCCGUCCGGCUGUCUAACUGCGUUUUGGCAGGCCUUCGGUCUGCCGAUCGCAGGAGGGCAGUUGGUGUGCGUGUCACCGGUGUUCACGUGCGCUGAACCCGGUCUCGACUGGCCGAUGGCCGGACGGUGUCGUCGCUGUCGUUGAUGUGUGGCCUGUUGCUCAUGGGCAGCUGCCGCUCAGAACCAUG
rnacentral:rRNA from 1 species